rnacentral:rRNA from 1 species
CCGGUUGAUCCUGCCAGAGGUUACUGCUAUCGGUGUUCGCCUAAGCCAUGCGAGUCAUAUGUAGCAAUACAUGGCGUACUGCUCAGUAACACGUGGAUAACCUGCCCUUGGGACCGGCAUAACCCCGGGAAACUGGGGAUAAUUCCGGAUAACGCAUAUUUGCUGGAAUGCUUUAUGCGUCAAAAGGAUUCGUCUGCCCAAGGAUGGGUCUGCGGCCUAUCAGGUAGUAGUGGGUGUAAUGUACCUACUAGCCAGCGACGGGUACGGGUUGUGAGAGCAAGAGCCCGGAGAUGGAUUCUGAGACAUGAAUCCAGGCCCUACGGGGCGCAGCAGGCGCGAAAACUUUACAAUGCGGGAAACCGUGAUAAGGGGACACCGAGUGCCAGCAUCAUAUGCUGGCUGUCCGGAUGUGUAAAAUACAUCCGUUAGCAAGGGCCGGGCAAGACCGGUGCCAGCCGCCGCGGUAAUAC